rnacentral:tRNA from 1 species
GCCCGGAUAGCUCAGUCGGUAGAGCAGGGGAUUGAAAAUCCCCGUGUCCUUGGUUGGAUUCCGAGUCCGGGCACCA